CACACAUACACGCACACACACACGCACACAAACACUAUUCUAAUUAAUGAUUUAAUUGCCCUCUGGAGGUGACAUUUUACUGAGAAGCAGUUUGGAAAACCAACGAUGUGUACUCGCCGGUAAAGCGCCUGCGACAAGAUCCCAUUUCAGAUGUACACUUCACAGGCCUCACCUUCAGCCAGAGCCGGAAACUCUACAUCCCCGACACGUUGGCUGCGGGGAAUGAUCACCAACAUCAGGAGGUGCUGAUAGCGCACAGGAGAUAACUUGUUGGAAGACACAAACAACAGGCGAGUUCAUCAGGACUGUUUCUCCACGCCCCUGGAGGCGGUCGCGGGCCCCGGAGAGCCGGCACGGCGCCCGUCGGAGGGGACACGGUCGAGGGGUUCUCUUCGAGGGAACUUUUAAUUUGAAAGACCUCCGUCCCCGUCAGGGUCGAUUUGGUAGGAGCGGUAAACGGCCACUAGAGGGAGACAGAAACCUCCUUCUGAGAGCUCAACCUUCAAACCCUCCCUCUAAUGACAAAUAUCCUCGGGUCUUUAUAUGUUUUGAACGGUCCGUAUGGAGGGAGGCAGACAUUAUUUCAGUUCCC
ensembl:lncRNA